AGUGAACGCUGGCGGUAGGCCUAACACAUGCAAGUCGAACGGCAGCACAGUAAGAGCUUGCUCUUACGGGUGGCGAGUGGCGGACGGGUGAGGAAUACUUCGGAAUCUACUUUUUCGUGGGGGAUAACGUAGGGAAACUUACGCUAAUACCGCAUACGACCUACGGGUGAAAGCAGGGGAUCUUCGGACCUUGCGCGAUUGAAUGAGCCGAUGUCGGAUUAGCUAGUUGGCGGGGUAAAGGCCCACCAAGGCGACGAUCGGUAGCUGGUCUGAGAGGAGGAUCGGCCACACGGAAACGGAGACACGGUCCAGACUCCUACGGGAGGAAGAAGGGGGGAAUAUGGAACAAUGGGCGCAAGCCUGAUCCAGCCAUACCGCGGGGGUGAAGAAGGCCUUCGGGUUGUAAAGCCCUUUUGUUGGGAAAGAAAAGCAGCAGGUUAAUACCCCGCUGUUCUGACGGUACCCAAAGAAUAAGCACCGGCUAACUUCGU
rnacentral:rRNA from 1 species